AUGACUUUCUUCCUAAAAGAAAUUAAAACGGCCCAAUUAAUAUUGUCGAGCCACAUCAGCUUAACAGGCCAAUUUUUCGGACGGCCAAACGGCCCAGCUAGAAUCACCAAGGGGAACUUCAGAAUCCAUAGUUACAGACGUGUGUUGACAAUAAGCGUCUGUACUGAACUACAGACGCUUGUACAUGGCGCGCGUCUGUAACAAGGAAAAUCACAGACACGUUUUAAAACAGUAACAGUAGCAGGCGUCUGUAACAAGCUAUUACAGACGCGUGUUAACCUCCAGUUAUGCAAUCGCGCGUCUGUGAUUUCCUUUUUUUACAUAGUGGUAAUUUAA
rnacentral:lncRNA from 1 species